AUGGUCAAAUUACAUUGAAAACACCCGUUCUCGUUUAAUCAUCGAAAUUAAGCAAUGUUGAUCUCGGCCAGUACUUAGAUGGGGGACCACUUAGGAACACCGGAUAGUG